rnacentral:rRNA from 1 species
ACGUAGGUGGCGAGCGUUAUCCGGAUUUAUUGGGCGUAAAGGGUGCGUAGGCGGUAUGUUAAGUAUAAAAUAAAAGCCCGAAGCUUAACUUCGGUUCGUUUUAUAAACUGGCAAACUAGAGUACAGUAGAGGCAAAUGGAAUUCCUAGUGUAGUGGUAAAAUGCGUAGAUAUUAGGAGGAACACCAGUGGCGAAGGCGAUUUGCUGGGCUGUAACUGACGCUGAGGCACGAAAGCGUGGGGAGCAAAUAG